CUUGGUCAUUUAGAGGAAGUAAAAGUCGUAACAAGGUUUCCGUAGGUGAACCUGCGGAAGGAUCAUUACAGAGAACUGCCUCCGGGCAAUCUCCCACCCUUUGUCUACCGUGCCUUGUUGCUUUGGCAGGCCCGCCCUAGGGCCGCCGGCUCUGCUGGCCAGCGCCUGCCAGAGGAUCACAACUCGAGUUAGUGUCGUCUGAGUACCAUUAAAUAGUUAAAAAACUUUCAACAACGGAUCUCUUGGUUCUGGCAUCGAUGAAGAACGCAGCGAAAUGCGAUAAGUAAUGUGAAUUGCAGAAUUCAGUGAAUCAUCGAAUCUUUGAACGCACAUUGCACCCUCUGGUAUUCCGGAGGGUAUGCCUGUUCGAGCGUCAUUACAACCAUCAAGCGCCGCUUGGAGUUGGGCGUCGCCGGCUCACGGCGCGUCCUAAAAUCAGUGGCGGUACCGUCUGGCUCCGAGCGUAGUAAUCUCUCUCGCUUUGGGGCCCGGACGGGGGCCUGCCAGAAGACAACCAUAUCGUAGGGUUGACCUCGGAUCAGGUAGGGAUACCCGCUGAACUUAAGCAUAUCAAUAAGCGGAGGAAAAGAAACCAACAGGGAUUGCCUCAGUAACGGCGAGUGAAGCGGCAACAGCUCAAAUUUGAAAUCUGGCCCUCGGGCCCGAGUUGUAAUUUGUAGAGGAUGCUUCGGGCGUGGUCCGGUCUAAGUUCCUUGGAACAGGACGUCGUAGAGGGUGAGAAUCCCGUAUGCGGCCGGGUGCCUAAGCCUAUGUGAAGCUCCUUCGAUGAGUCGGGUUGUUUGGGAAUGCAGCUCAAAAUGGGUGGUAAAUUUCAUCUAAAGCUAAAUACUGGCCAGAGACCGAUAGCGCACAAGUAGAGUGAUCGAAAGAUGAAAAGCACUUUGGAAAGAGAGUUAAAUAGUACGUGAAAUUGUUGAAAGGGAAGCGCUUGCAACCAGACUUGCGUGCGGCUGAUCAUCUGGCGUUCUCGCCGGUGCACUCGGCCGCACACAGGCCAGCAUCGGUUCUGGUGGCUAGACAAAGGCCCUGGGAAUGUGGCUUCCUUCGGGGAGUGUUAUAGCCCUCGGUGCAAUGUAGCCUACUGGGAUCGAGGACCGCGCUCUGGCUAGGAUGCUGGCGUAAUGGUUGUAAGCGGCCCGUCUUGAAACACGGACC
rnacentral:rRNA from 1 species